CGCCAUUAUCGGUUGAAGAAACCAUUUUGGAUAUAUAUUUUUUGUGGAGACGUGGCUGCUUUCUUUUUACUAUUCCGGUUAUAAAUUACCAUCAUUAUGUUAUUAUGAUGAGGAAAUAUGUACUCCAGAAGAUGAAACAUUUCGGAAAAAAAGAUCGCCUAAUCUAAAAUAUGCGAUUGGAUUGAUAGUUACACAUAAUCAUAAAAUGGAAGAUAAUACACGAAAAGAUGUUGCUGGGGUCAUUAUUGGGUGGCACAACAAAUGCCAAAUUGAACGUUUUAGGUAUAAGGAAACAUGUUGUAUUCUGGAAGAUGUUGAAGAGCAAUGUAUACAGAAAAAUAGCAUCGAUAAUUGGACAUUGCUACCGCAUUACGUUUUGUUAAGCGAGAAUGAUCUGUGUUACGUUCCACAAUAUGUUAUAACAUCGGUAUGCAAAGAAUGGAUAAAUAAUCCAGAAGUUGGAAAAUAUUUCUGUAAAUUUGAAGAUACUCAUUAUGUGCCAAAUAACAUGCUAGGACAGCAUUAUCCAGACGAUGCCGCAGUCGUUCGCGACAUAUUAUUGAAUAAUCUAAA